CACGCGAGCAACACGUGCAGUCUGCACGGC
rnacentral:sRNA from 1 species